rnacentral:rRNA from 1 species
UACGUAGGGGGCAAGCGUUGUCCGGAAUCAUUGGGCGUAAAGAGCGUGUAGGCGGCCAGAUAAGUCCGCUGUGAAAUCUCGAGGCUCAACUUCGAGCUGUCGGUGGAAACUGUCUGGCUAGAGUCCGGAAGAGGAGAAUGGAAUUCCUGGUGUAGCGGUGAAAUGCGCAGAUAUCAGGAAGAACACCCGUGGCGAAGGCGGUCCUCUGGGACGGUACUGACGCUGAGACGCGAAAGCGUGGGUAGCAAACAGG